rnacentral:misc_RNA from 1 species
GAUGAAGAACGUAGUGAAAUGCGAUACGUAAUGUGAAUUGCAGAAUUCAGUGAAUCAUCGAGUCUUUGAACGCACAUUGCGCCUCCUGGUAUUCCGGGAGGCAUGCCUGUUCGAGCGUCAUUAAAAUCACUCAAGCUUAGGUUUACCUAUUGCUUGGUCUUGGAGAUGGAAGCCAAUUUAUUGGAAUCCUCUUCGAAAUUCAAUGGCGAAGACCCUUGCUCUCCCAAGUGUAGUAAUAACUUAUGUCACUGAAGGAAGCGAGAAAUCUUCUGCCGUAACCCCCAUAUUUUCUAUGAUUGACCUCGGAUCAGGUAGGGAUACCCGCUGAACUUAAGCAUAUCAAUAAGCGGAGGA